AUUGAGCGCUGGCGGCAUGCCUUACACAUGCAAGUCGAACGGUAACGGGCCUUCGGGUGCCGACGAGUGGCGCACGGGUGAGUAAUACAUCGGAACGUGCCCGAUCGUGGGGGAUAACGAGGCGAAAGCUUUGCUAAUACCGCAUACGAUCUACGGAUGAAAGCAGGGGACCGCAAGGCCUUGCGCGGACGGAGCGGCCGAUGGCAGAUUAGGUAGUUGGUGGGAUAAAAGCUUACCAAGCCGACGAUCUGUAGCUGGUCUGAGAGGAUGAUCAGCCACACUGGGACUGAGACACGGCCCAGCCUCCUACGGGAGGCAGCAGUGGGGAAUUUUGGACAAUGGGCGCAAGCCUGAUCCAGCCAUGCCGCGUGCAGGAUGAAGGCCUUCGGGUUGUAAACUGCUUUUGUACGGAACGAAAAGCCUUCUUUUAAUACAGGAGGGUCAUGACGGUACCGUAAGAAUAAGCACCGGCUAACUACGU
rnacentral:rRNA from 1 species